AACGUAGGACACAAGCGUUAUCCGGAUUUACUGGGCGUAAAGAGCGCGCAGGCGGUCGUUCAAGUCGCGUGUGAAAGCCCCCGGCUCAACUGGGGAGGGUCACGCGAUACUGAUCGACUCGAAGGCAGGAGAGGGAAGUGGAAUUCCCGGUGUAGUGGUGAAAUGCGUAGAUAUCGGGAGGAACACCAGUGGCGAAGGCGACUUCCUGGCCUGUUCUUGACGCUGAGGCGCGAAAGCUAGGGGAGCAAACGGG
rnacentral:rRNA from 1 species